AGAGUUUGAUCCUGGCUCAGAUUGAACGCUGGCGGAAUGCUUUACACAUGCAAGUCGAACGGCAGCAUAGGUGCUUGCACCUGAUGGCGAGUGGCGAACGGGUGAGUAAUACAUCGGAACGUGCCCGGUCGUGGGGGAUAACGUAGCGAAAGUUACGCUAAUACCGCAUACGAUCUACGGAUGAAAGCGGGGGACCGUAAGGCCUCGCGCGAUUGGAGCGGCCGAUGUUAGAUUAGGUAGUUGGUGGGGUAAAGGCUCACCAAGCCGACGAUCUAUAGCUGGUCUGAGAGGAUGAUCAGCCACACUGGGACUGAGACACGGCCCAGACUCCUACGGGAGGCAGCAGUGGGGAAUUUUGGACAAUGGGCGCAAGCCUGAUCCAGCCAUUCCGCGUGCAGGACGAAGGCCUUCGGGUUGUAAACUGCUUUUGUACAGAACGAAAAGCCUUGGGUUAAUACCCUGGGGUCAUGACGGUACUGUAAGAAUAAGCACCGGCUAACUACGUGCCAGCAGCCGCGGUAAU
rnacentral:rRNA from 1 species